UUCGUCUGAAUCACUCUUCUCAUCUGAGUCGUCCUCGUAGUCCUCAUCCCUCUCCUCUGCCUUCUCAUCUGUAGUUACCGAGCAGUCGUCAUGUACUAUCAAAAGUAUCCUGACUGGUUGCAUCAUGAUCUGGUACCGCAAUUUGAAUGUGCAGGAACGUAAGAAGCUGCAGAGAAUUGUGGACUCAGCCCAAUAUAUCACGGGCACAUCCCUCCCUGCCACUCUGCCCCCAUCAGACGAAGGUUUUCCGACGCACAGGAACGCAAGAAGCCGCAGAGAGUGGUGGACACAGCCUGGUCCAUCACGGGCACAGCCCUCCCCACCAUUGAAAGCAUCUACACGAGGUGCUGCCUCAAGAAGGAAGCAGCUAACAUCAAGGAUCCCCACCAUCCGGGCCACGCCAUCUCGCUGCUACCAUUGGGCAGGACAUACAGAAGCCUGAAGUCCCACACCACCAGGUUCAGGAACAGCUACUUCCCUUCAACCAUCAGGUUCUUGAACUGACCUGCACAACCCUA